CCAAGUGAUGCCUUGGCACUGGGAGAAUUCACAGGAGUUAAAAUUCACCCGUGAAUUUCCUGGUGCCUUAGCAUUACGAGG
rnacentral:pre_miRNA from 1 species